GGAAUCUUGCGCAAUGGUCGAAAGCCUGACGCAGCAACGCCGCGUGCGGGAUGAAGGCCUUCGGGCUGUAAACCGCUUUCAGCAGGAACGAAAAUGACGGUACCUGCAGAAGAAGGAGCGGCCAACUACGUGCCAGCAGCCGCGGUGACACGUAGGCUCCAAGCGUUGUCCGGAUUUAUUGGGCGUAAAGAGCUCGUAGGCGGCUUAGUAAGUCGGGUGUUAAAACUCUGGGCUCAACCCGGAGAGGCCAUCCGAUACUGCUGUGACUUGAGUUCAGGAGGGGAGCGGGGAAUUCCUAGUGUAGCGGUGAAAUGCGCAGAUAUUAGGAGGAACACCGGUGGCGAAGGCGCCGCUCUGGACUGAAACUGACGCUGAGGAGCGAAAGCAUGGGUAGCAAACAGGAUUAGAUACCCUGGUAGUCCAUGCCGUAAACGGUGGGCACUAGGUGUGGGUUCCAACUAACGGGAUCCGCGCCGUCGCUAACGCAUUAAGUGCCCCGCCUGGGGAGUACGGUCGCAAGACUAAAACUCAAAUGAAUUGACGG
rnacentral:rRNA from 1 species